rnacentral:rRNA from 1 species
CCUACGGGUGGCUGCAGUGGGGAAUUUUGGACAAUGGGCGCAAGCCUGAUCCAGCCAUGCCGCGUGGGUGAAGAAGGCCUUCGGGUUGUAAAGCCCUUUCGGCCGGGAAGAAAUCGUGCGGGCGAACAGUCUGCAUGGAUGACGGUACCGGAAGAAGAAGCACCGGCUAACUACGUGCCAGCAGCCGCGGUAAUACGUAGGGUGCGUGCGUUAAUCGGAAUGAUUGGGGGCAGAGCCAGAGGACGCGGCUGAAAUCCCCGGGCUUAACCGGGGAACUGCGGUUGUGACUGUGGUGCUAGAGUACGGCAGAGGGAGGUGGAAUUCCUGGUGUAGCAGUGAAAUGCGUAGAGAUCAGGAGGAACACCGAUGGCGAAGGCAGCCUCCUGGGCUGAUACUGACGCUCAUGCACGAAAGCGUGGGGAGCAAACAGGAUUAGAUACCCUGGUAGUC